GGCAGGAAGGAAGGGCUUAUUGAAUUGGACCACUUGUCAAGGCAGCUUACAAAAGUCAGAAAUUUAAAAGCAGCCACACUAAGCUUGUCUACAUUUUCCAUAAAAUUUCCAAAAUAAAUACUGGAAAAAAACAUGGAAAUACAUAAGACAUCAACACAAAAUAGCACAGCACCAGAAUGAAUGCGGAAGUUAUCAGGAGUGGUGUGGCAUUGUUCCUGUUCAUUUAUGCUUUACAGAUUCCAAAAGUCUGAACCAGAUAUGAGUAGAGUACAGUUUGAGAAAUGUCUUGGUAGAACAGAUACUAAGGAAAUAAUAAAGAGCAGAACAGACCACAUUUCUCCUUAUAACUGGUAAAGUUCCAAGUAAGGGCGAGUACAAUAAUGCAGCCCCAGUGAGAGUUCGUGAUGAGGUGUCAACUGUAAAUGUUUUGGUCGUUAAAUGAUGUGCAGUCAGAUUGACAAGUAUUUGAAGUAAUAUUAAUUUAUAAAUUAUCAGUUCUGAGAGAAAUUUUUGCUGAGCUUUGUGCAGGAUACUCUUAAAAAAAAAUGAACCAGAAUUUUAUAUUAUAAGUACAAUGUCAGAUGUACUCCAGACUUCACACAUAUGUUGAUGUUUAUACAUAUGUGGUGAUUAAUUUGUCAAGUGAAGAAAUUUUAUGAAUAAUGUUAGUGGGUGACAGAACAGAAGUACAAAGUCAAUUACAGAGGUCGACAACACUGA